rnacentral:rRNA from 1 species
GUGCCAGCAGCAGCGGCGGUAAUACGAAGGGUGCAAGCGUUACUCGGAAUUACUGGGCGUAAAGCGUGCGUAGGUGGUGGUUUAAGUCCGUUGUGAAAGCCCUGGGCUCAACCUGGGAAUUGCAGUGGAUACUGGGUCACUAGAGUGUGGUAGAGGGUAGCGGAAUUCCUGGUGUAGCAGUGAAAUGCGUAGAGAUCAGGAGGAACACCCGUGGCGAAGGCGGCUACCUGGACCAACACUGACACUGAGGCACGAAAGCGUGGGGAGCAAACAGGAUUAGAUACCCUGGUAGUCCACGCCCUAAACGAUGCGAACUGGAUGUUGGGUGCAAUUUGGCACGCAGUAUCGAAGCUAACGCGUUAAGUUCGCCGCCUGGGGAGUACGGUCGCAAGACU